rnacentral:rRNA from 1 species
UACGAAGGGGGCUAGCGUUGCUCGGAAUCACUGGGCGUAAAGCGCACGUAGGCGGAUUGUUAAGUCAGGGAUGAAAUCCUGGAGCUCAACUCCAGAACUGCCUUUGAUACUGGCGAUCUCGAGUCCGGGAGAGGUGAGUGGAACUGCGAGUGUAGAGGUGAAAUUCGUAGAUAUUCGCAAGAACACCAGUGGCGAAGGCGGCUCACUGGCCCGUAACUGACGCUGAGGCACGGAAAGCGAUGGGGAGCAAACAGGGAUUAAGAAACCC